GGAGAAGGCAACACCAGUGCUCAGAACUGCCUUCAUUUAAGUUACCUUGUGGGAGAUGGGCUAUAGUCGUAAUGGGAUACUUGGCUGGAGGUUCUUUGACAUGGAAUACUUGGGAACCCACAUGGAUGAAGGCCAGAUUGGAGCUGUGUGCCAUGAGGCACCCACUGGACGUAAGGAUUCAUCCCAAGGCAGCAUGGUUCCUGAGGUGCUUGGAGGUUUCCUGAUGAGCUAAGGAGCUGUUUCUGGCAGGAUGCAAGGGCCACUCUUGAUCCACUGGCCCUAGGUAAGGCCCAGAAGCUGGUUCCCCCCUCUGGAUCUCCAGCUCAUCCACACUUAGGUCACCACCUCCCAGGGCAGCAUCCCCUCAGCCUGCCCCAGGCUCAGCCAGUCCUUUAAGCACCCCCCACCAACCCCCAGACCCAGACCAAAGAGACAGUUCUAUAGGCCACUCCCCCAAAGGGCCCUGUCCUGGCCCCACCCCCCCCCCCCCCCCCCCCCCCAGCAAAGACACUACAGGGCCAGAAGAUGGAACACAUGCUUUAUGC
rnacentral:lncRNA from 1 species